UCCUUGAUGUCAUGGUGGUGGUGUAUCAGG
rnacentral:piRNA from 1 species